rnacentral:lncRNA from 1 species
CUGCAUGCUGCCAUCGUCCAUCGAUUAUCCAGUUUAUGAUUCUUGAAGAAGAAGGGACAACAUCUUGUACAGUGGAGAGAACGAAAAGCAACAGUUCUCUGAGCGUAAAUGACGAUCAUUUCUCACUUUUUAUUUUAUUUUUUCAUAUAUGGAAAAGUUGCUCUUCAAGGGAAUAAUCGUACGCCACGCACCAUCGAUAUAUCCAUGAUUGAAGACAAACUUUGUGGCGAAUUCAUUGUUUCACUUAUUGCUGCGGAAAAAGUUGACGAGCUAGCUAGCUAGCAGCAUGUAGUAUAGCUUGACACCGAUCGAAAAUGGGCGCAAGAAACAAAGAUAGGUAUAUAGAGCCGGUAGAUCGACCAAAUGCAUCCGUGCAUCUGCAUGCAUCUGCCUUUUCCCUUUUGCCUUUUUCUUGCUUGUCAGAUAUCAUAAGUGGCUCUUGCA